GCAAUGCCGCGUGAGUGAAGAAGGCCUUCGGGUUGUAAAGCUCUUUUGUCAGGGAAGAAAAGGGUGCGGCUAAUAUCUGCGCCUCAUGACGGUACCUGAAGAAUAAGCACCGGCUAACUACGUGCCAGCAGCCGCGGUAAUACGUAGGGUGCAAGCGUUAAUCGGAAUUACUGGGCGUAAAGCGUGCGCAGGCGGUUUUGUAAGACUGUCGUGAAAUCCCCGGGCUCAACCUGGGAAUGGCGAUGGUGACUGCAAGGCUAGAGUUUGGCAGAGGGGGGUAGAAUUCCACGUGUAGCAGUGAAAUGCGUAGAUAUGUGGAGGAACACCGAUGGCGAAGGCAGCCCCCUGGGUCAAAACUGACGCUCAUGCACGAAAGCGUGGGGAGCAAACAGGAUUAGAUACCCUGGUAGUCCACGCCCUAAACGAUGUCUACUAGUUGUCGGGUCUUAAUUGACUUGGUAACGCAGCUAACGCGUGAAGUAGACCGCCUGGGGAGUACGGUCGCAAGAUUAAAACUCAAAGGAAUUGACGGGGACCCGCACAAGCGGUGGAUGAUGUGGAUUAAUUCGAUGCAACGCGAAAAACCUUACCUACCCUUGACAUGGAUGGAAUCUUCGAGAGA
rnacentral:rRNA from 1 species